GCUCCUUGAAGGUAGGGUGGGCAAUCUGGAGAAACCGGCCAGAGUGAGCUUGAUUUUGUAAGAAUUUAUUUUUGAUGGCCUUCAGGCCUCAAGGCCUGCUUGCAAAUCCGCCAUAAAACACACGACUAGCUCGACUAGCCAUAGGUCUGCCUAGCCUCAUGGAAGACUCUGGCAAUGCAGAAUGAGUCCAAGGGCAUAGUGCACACAUGUAGCCAGGUUGCCAUAACACAGAUAGGUAGGCUAUCCAAUAAUUUCAUUGGGUCCACAACAGAAUCUAGUGUUUUUUAUUAUGAUUUCCUGAUUUGUUGAUUGCUGGAUGUGAAGAGAAUUUCAACACACAUGAAAAACAUCCUUCUAGGAUUUCCUGCCCUAGCUUUGACCUAUACUAUCUAUCUUUAGGAUAAAAGUGUGCAAUAGUGAAAUUUAUGCUAAUUCCCAUUCGAUAUUCCCACGUCUCCAAGCGAGUUAGCAUGUGACUCAAAGAGUGUGUUGUGUGUUGAUGUGCAGGUGCGAGAGAACGCCAAGCAGGAUCUAAAGGACGGACUGGCGCUCUACAACACAGACAACAACGUGGGAUUACGCAACGCCUGGAACAUCAUUCAAGCGGAGUGGAAGUGCUGCGGUGUGACUGCCUACAGCGACUGGCACGACGCGCUGAAGGACAAGUUUGUGCCGGACCGCUGCUGCCAGGAGCACUACCAGGAGUGUGGUCGCAACUCCACCAACAUGUUCUGGAGCAGGGGCUGCUUUGAGAAGGUGGAGGAGUGGCUGGACGACAACAAGCACCUCAUGGGAACCGUCGCCAUGGUGAUCUUGGUAGUGCAGCUUCUUGGCAUGGCGUUCUCCAUGACGCUCUUCCACCACAUCCACAGAACGGGGAAGAAGUACGACGCAUAGCCUUUGGAAGGAGCCCGGUGGAGAGCGGUCUCACCGCUCAUCACUGCCUGAUGGUACAGACUCUGGAUAGCCACCCCUGCCCGCCAUUGCUAUGUAUCCAGUCCCAUCAAUCCUCUCCUGGAAAAUGUCUGCUCAGAUUCAAGCCGUGUCCGUCCC